AUUACCUGCGCCGUUUCCACGUUUAAUCUCACGAGUUUAACACAAGCGCUCACGUGACCCGCUGCAGCCUAUCGCGCUCUAUAUGAUCCACCGUCCCAAGAUGGCUGCCAGGUGCGGUGGCUAAGCCUGGGGACAUCUGAAGCCGGUGCCGACCAUCAGGGCCGAGUUGCGACGAGAGAGUGUUAUUAAGCCGAGUCGACAAGGCAAAGGCAAAAAAAUAGCUUCCGUAGAUGUGGCCAUCUUGAAUCCCGCCCUGGUGACCGUGGGUACGCACGUCCAACUCCCCAGGUACAUGGAACUAUGUUGACACCUGUCUCACAUGCAAUGACAUCACGCCAGGUGUGAUGGAGUAAAAGGUAAAAGGCGAAGCAGGCCGGAGGUUUGAUUGUUUUUGUUCCACAACGUGUUUUAUUAGUUAGCACCAUAAAAAGUCCGUGGUCUUUCCCGGGAUGGAGAGAAAGGAGUCAGUGGAGGGUAAAAAGCUGCACCAGCGGGUGUGGCUCACUUGCUGGAGGAGGUGAAGGUGAAGCAACCUCUCUGGUGGAACUGCAUGUCCCUGAUGCGACGCACCGACUGGAUCUGAGGCUGCAGGGCCGAGAAGUCGUUGUAGUGCCGGAAGUCUCCACUCUCAAACAGGUACUGGUAGCCUCUGUAGCCCGGGUACUGGUAGCCCACCCACCUGAGCAGGAGCACACCUCAGCUUCUUAUUCAACCCUCUACUUAAGUCUACUGAAACCAA